rnacentral:lncRNA from 1 species
CUUCUACUCUACUUAAUGUGUUAUAAUUUGUUGGAUGAGCCACCUAAGUCGAAAAACUUUUUCUCUUGUUGUGACAUGAUUACUUAGGCAACAUCAAUCUCUCUUGCUUGAAAAAAAUAUGUCCUCAAUGUGUAGUUUUUGAGCUUCUUGAUAGGUUUGAUUUCAUAAGUAACAAAUCCAUAUUUUCCAAAAUCCUUUAUUGAUAUAUUAGAUGUGCUUAUAGUAUUUUUGUAACUGAAGAUCUUCAAAAAUCUCAUAAAACUUUUUGAUUCACCACAAUAAAAUUAAAAUUAAAAGUUUCUCCACUUCCUAGAGAAACUAAAAUCUAGAUGAGAUGGCUUUUAUGAAGUUGAAGAGCAUGGUGUUUCAAAGUCAAUGGUUAAUAGUUCAAACCAUACUUUAAGCACAAACCUCAACUUUGUAAGGAGCCCAUCCCUCUAAAAUA